GCUCAGAACGAACGCUGGCGGCGUGGAUAAGACAUGCAAGUCGAACGCUGAUUAGGGGGUAGCAAUAUUCUCUAGUCGGAGUGGCGCAAGGGUGCGUAACACGUGGGUAAUCUGCCGUGAAGCCUGGGAUAACUCGCUGAAAGGCGAGCUAAUACCGGAUGUGACUGUUGGGGAGCAUUUUCCGACAUUCAAAGCUGGGGACCGCAAGGCCUGGCCCUUCACGAUGAGCCCGCGGCCUAUCAGCUAGUUGGUGAGGUAACGGCUCACCAAGGCCAAGACGGGUAGCUGGUCUGAGAGGACGACCAGCCACACUGGAACUGAGACACGGUCCAGACACCUACGGGUGGCAGCAGUCGAGAAUUUUUCACAAUGGGCGCAAGCCUGAUGGAGCGACGCCGCGUGGGGGAUGAAGGGUUUCGAUCCGUAAACCCCUGUCAUUUGCGAACAAACCUUGAGCGCUAACACCGUUCAAGUUGAUUGUAGUGAAAGAGGAAGGGACGGCUAACUCUGUGCCAGCAGCCGCGGUAAUACAGAGGUCCCAAGCGUUGUUCGGAUUCACUGGGCGUAAAGGGUGCGUAGGUGGCCAGGUAAGUUUGGUGUGAAAGCUCGGAGCUCAACUCCGAAAAGUCAUUGAAUACUAUCUGGCUGGAGGUCGGAGGGGAGACUGGAAUUCUCGGUGUAGCAGUGAAAUGCGUAGAUAUCGAGAGGAACACCAGUGGCGAAGGCGAGUCUCUGGACGACUCCUGACACUGAGGCACGAAAGCUAGGGGAGCAAACAGGAUUAGAUACCCUGGUAGUCCUAGCUGUAAACGGUGCACGUUUGCUGUAAGAGGAAUCGACCCCUUUUGUGGCGAAGCUAACGCGCUAAACGUGCCGCCUGGGGAGUACGGUCGCAAGAUUAAAACUCAAAG
rnacentral:rRNA from 1 species